rnacentral:lncRNA from 10 species
AAAGCAUAGUUUAUAGUACACAAGGUGGCUCGAGUAUCCACCAUGAUUGUAUACAAUUCCCCUUUUAUCCUAGGCAUGGUUUAUUUAUGUUUAUUGAAGGGUAUUACAGGAGGCAAUUUAUUUCAGAAUCCCUUGGAGCCUAAUCAAUGUUGAUAAGCAUCAUGACAGCUAAAAAGAAUCUCUUUUGUUCCCUCUAGUGGUGAAACACUGCAGUCCAAAGGGAGGUUUAUUGGUGGACAAUCUCAUAUUUAGUGUCUUCGUUGUUUACAGUAAAGGCAGAAAUCUCAGGGUAAAGAAUCUUGGUUUUAGGACCUCUGAUUAUGACUUAAAAUAAGAACAAGAAGGUCUCUUUGGUCCCAGCCUCUACGACUAUUGUAAUUACAGAGACAUAGCUUGUUAACCUUUUGAGUUUUUCUUGCUCCUGAGUUCUCUCAAAAUGUUUAGCUAAGGUCACAAAUUGAGUCAUAUCUGUAACUUUCUGUCUCAAUUAAUACAUUUUAAUUUAACUGUAACAUUUAGUUUAAUUAAACUGUUAAGUCCAUUUAAAAAUGCUCAUGUCAUUUUAAUCCAUACAGGAAAUCCUCUGUUUCAUAUUUUGAGUGCAGCAUGUUUUACAAACAGUGUUUCUAAGCAAAUUCUGUAAUCUGAAACUGGUUUAUUCUUUUUUAUUCAGAAGGUUGUAUUAUGGACCAAUCAAAAUUUAUGGAAGUCUUUUAGAAUUGAAUUUAAAAGGUUUUUAAUACUUUUUUAAGCUCUUUUUGUUACUUUUUAUGAGGAGGUUUUAAAGUCAGGGAGUUUUGAAUCAUAAGCUCAUAUGAGAAUUUCAAAUUCCUCAGUAAAUAUUUGAGGACUUUUUCUUGGAUCGGGGAAGUUUUUUACAAUGGCUCUAAGCUCAGUUCCAGAUCUUGGAGUGAAAGUAAUUACAGCAAGAAUACUUGGCUGAUCAAAAGGUCUUACUUUGCAAGGCAUCUGUCUUAUUUAACUUUUAAAAUAUUAUCCUUAAGGUGGCAGGUAAUUUAGCAAAAAUAUUAGUGGACUCAGAGUAUGUAGGCAGAGAUGAAUAAAGAAAAGGAACAGUUAGGUUUAGUUUAGUCAGAAUACAGUCCUCAUUUAUAAUGUCUAGUCUGUUGCUUAAGCUUUUUGUUUGUUUUUUGCAAACAAUCUAUAGAGGUGGCAAUUUUCAAUCUGCUUAGUCUUUUAUAAGCCUUGUAUACCAAUUGAAGACUAAUCCCAUUGUUUUGUAGGGUUUUUGAUCCCCAUUUUUCUAAUAGCCUCAGAAAUAAACAAUUGUAUUCUCUAGGGUACAUCUGUUAUUCAUAUUCACCACAAUGAAAAGAAACCUGGUAAUGAAACCAUCAAUCAAUAAAUUCCCACUUUUCCUCUACACCUCUGUAGUCUCUUCUCUUCACCCUUCCUUCACUCUAGAUCAUAAGUGAGAGCUAGAUCAUAAAGACCAAAACACUGCAAAAAAAAAAAAGCAUAAAAUGAAAAGCACAAAAACAAGACAAAUCUAUUUUAAUGGGCAAGAGGUGAUAGUGUGUGAAGGCUAGAGACACUAAUAAAUGUAUCAUGCUAAGGAAUAUAAUCUUAUCUACCAGUUUAUGAGCAUCUGCUAUAAUAUCUUCUGUAUAAACAUACUCUUCUCCAGUCUAUAUGACAAUUCGGUAAAUUGUCUAUUAUUAUGUCUACCUCAAAGAUUAAGAAAUUGAAUUCUAUUGAAGUGACAAAUCUAGAUUUAUUCUUAAUUCUCAUUGCUUCACCAAACUACAAUCUUUCUACUAUGCCACAUGUAACCUUUAUGUGCUAAUGAGUUUUGAAUUUCACCCUAAAGUCAGAAGAAGAUUUUAACUUUGUAAUAAUAUGAUCAAAUUUGUAGGUUUUUGUGGAUAAAAUAUAGCCAAGUAGAAGAAAUAUAAAGACCUGGGGAAAGAAGAAUAUAAUUACAGAAAGGUUUAUAACUUCUAAAAAGAAAAAAGUAAUUGUCUUGUAUGUUAGGCUCAGCCAGAAUUUAGACCAUAAACGCGUAUCUUCGAAAACAUCACUACACUGCUAAAGGCCACAUUUAAAGACAUGGAUAAUCAUAAUUAUGAAUUAUUAUACCAGAGCAUAUUAUGCAAUAAUGAAGAUAUUUGCAGCUUAUUCCUGUAACCCUGGCUACUGAGGAGACUGACACAGGAAGAUCACUUAAGGCAGGAGUUCAAGACUAGCCUGGACAACACAGUGAAGCCCAGUCACUAAAAAUAUAAGAGGAAAUCUAAAAAUUAGGUGGGCAUAGUGGCUAAAUCCCAUCUACUUGAGAAGCUGAGACAGGAAGAUCCCUUGAGCCUGAGUGGUAAAGGCUGCAGUGAGCUAUGAUCACACCACUGCACAGCAGCCUAGGCAACAGAGCAAAGCCCUGUCUCAAAAAACAAAUUACUUUCUAUUUUAUUUAGAAAAAUAGAAAUAAAGAGAUCAGUGCCUUUGAAAAUAUUUGACUUUGAAUCAGUAGCUUGGGGUAAAUAUGUGUUUAGUAUUAAGUUCAGAUCAAAUCUGCUGAUGUUCUAAAUGUUCAAAUAUUCAGAUUUCUUAUUUCAGUAUUUUACUGGCCAGAAACUAGUAGAUUCAGAGUUUUGUAAUAAUAUUUAACCAACACAGAAUAAACAUUAAACAUGAGAACUUCCUAAAUUGAUAUUAAAAGCCAGAUUUGUCUAUCAGAGUGAACAUACAAAUGAUAAGUAAGAAUAUUAUGUUUAUAUUUGUAAACCCCUGAAACUGUCACCAAAUUUAGAUGCAACAAUUGGUGUUUUGUUGAUCCUUUAAUAUGUAAGUUAAAUAUAACGUAUGAUAUAGUUUUAUCUCAUUUUCUAUAUUUAAAACUGAGAAAUUAUUCUGCAAAGCAUAUUCAUAUUUUAAUGUUUUCCCAAAUUUCACUGGUCUAAUGAUAUUUUUUCAUCUGUUUUUUCACAAUCAAUGAAUAUCACAUUUUAAAAAUCCCUAGCCAAAUCAAUGUUCCCUCAAGAAGCCAACUCUGUGAUAUUUCUCAACUCAUCAUUCUCAUUUUUGAAUAACAAAAUCUUAAUUUUGCCAUUGUAAUAUAAAGUAAGCAAUGUGGUGAAUUCAUAAAGGAAAAAAAUCUUGCAAUAAAAGGCCGGAGUUCAAGUUAUAGUUGACAUUUACAGAACUUGGAAAAAUAUAAAUAAAAAUAUAAAACCGACUUUUAAUAUUCUUUAUGAGUGAUUGUCUCUCUGAGUUGUGGUGAAGUGUAAAUAAACUAAGCAAAGAAAUUUUGUUAAUCAUAGCAGAUGAUAAAAAUAUUAACAGCUACUACUAUGUUGAUUCGGCACUUUGUGGUUACUUAUUCAAUAUUUAAAUUUAUUCAUUUUUAAAAUGUAUGAGUCCUUUUGUUUGUUAAUAAAAGACCAUGAGAUUUUCAGAGGCUAAAAAGAGA